rnacentral:tRNA from 1 species
GAGGUUGUGGCUCAGCGGUAGAGCGUUAACCUCACAUGUGUGAGACCCUGGGUUUGAUCCUCAGCACCACA